GAUGAACGCUGGCGGCGUGCCUAAUACAUGCAAGUCGAGCGAACGGACGAGAAGCUUGCUUCUCUGAUGUUAGCGGCGGACGGGUGAGUAACACGUGGAUAACCUACCUAUAAGACUGGGAUAACUUCGGGACACCGGAGCUAAUACCGGAUAAUAUUUUGCACCGCAUGGUUCAAAAGUGAAAGACGGUCUUGCUGUCACUUAUAGCUGGAUCCGCGCUGCAUUAGCUAGUUGGUAAGGUAACGGCUUACCAAGGCAACGAUGCAUAGCCGACCUGAGAGGGUGAUCGGCCACACUGGAACUGAGACACGGUCCAGACUCCUACGGGAGGCAGCAGUAGGGAAUCUUCCGCAAUGGGCGAAAGCCUGACGGAGCAACGCCGCGUGAGUGAUGAAGGUCUUCGGAUCGUAAAACUCUGUUAUUAGGGAAGAACAUAUGUGUAAGUAACUGUGCACAUCUUGACGGUACCUAAUCAGAAAGCCACGGCUAACUACGUG
rnacentral:rRNA from 1 species